rnacentral:rRNA from 1 species
GACAGAGGGGGCAAGCGUUGCUCGGAAUUACUGGGCGUAAAGGGCGCGUAGGCGGGAUGGCAAGUCGGUCGUGAAAUCCCUCGGCUCAACUGAGGAUCGUCGAUCGAUACUGCCGUUCUUGAGGAUUGCAGAGGAGACUGGAAUUCCCGGUGUAGCGGUGAAAUGUGUAGAGAUCGGGAGGAACACCGGUGGCGAAGGCGCUGCUCUGGGCCGAUACUGACGCUGAGGAGCGAAAGCGUGGGUAGCAAACAGG